UAACUGGAGGACCGAACCGACUAAUGUUGAAAAAUUAGCGGAUGACCUGUGGCUGGGGGUGAAAGGCCAAUCAAACCGGGAGAUAGCUGGUUCUCCCCGAAAGCUAUUUAGGUAGCGCCUCGUGAAUUCAUCUCCGGGGGUAGAGCACUGUUUCGGCUAGGGGGCCAUCCCGGCUUACCAACCCGAUGCAAACUGCGAAUACCGGAGAAUGUUAUCACGGGAGACACACGGCGGGUGCUAACGUCCGUCGUGAAGAGGGAAACAACCCAGACCGCCAGCUAAGGUCCCAAAGUCAUGGUUAAGUGGGAAACGAUGUGGGAAGGCCCAGACAGCCAGGAUGUUGGCUUAGAAGCAGCCAUCAUUUAAAGAAAGCGUAAUAGCUCACUGGUCGAGUCGGCCUGCGCGGAAGAUGUAACGGGGCUAAACCAUGCACCGAAGCUGCGGCAGCGACACUGUGUGUUGUUGGGUA
rnacentral:rRNA from 1 species